rnacentral:lncRNA from 13 species
UGAGUCCUCACAAUUGCUGUGCUUUCCUCCCCCAGCACCCAGAGAUGCUCUCCGCACCACACUGCUGCUGCUGCUGCUGCUACUGAGGGAGAGGAAGGGGUGGCGUCUGAGAUUCAAGUUUGUUUCUUCUGUCUCUUUAGUGCCUGAUUCAGCGAUAUGAAGUUAAAACCAGGAUGCUUCUCUCCAUUCUCUGGGCUCCAGGGUUCUGAUUCCUCAAGCGCCUGCAACCUGCCUGGCUUCUUCUGGCUGCAGGACGUGAACACACACCCCUCACUCUUCAUGGGAGGGCUUCCCUGACCAUGCUUCAUAAACUCAGGCCAACCCCCCCCAGUAAUCCAUUCCCUGUCCCAUUUUCCUGCUUAAUCUAUCUCCACAGCAUUUAAACUUUUAAAAUAUAUAUUUAUCUUUAUUGAUGAUAUCUUUUUCCUACUAUAAUUUAAGCUUCAUGGAAGACCCUCUGUUUCAAGGGUCCAGUAGAGGCAGAUAGUACACACUCUAUGAAUAUCUGUUGCACGAGAAAAUAAUUGAGAAAUCAUCAUCAUCAUCAUCAUCUUUUUCCCUUUCUAAAAAGUAGCAUGGAUUGUACCUGUCUAACUUAUGUGUAUGUUUUCAACAUGAGUCAUAGUUCUCAGCAAAAGUGCUCUGUCAAUGUUUGUUAAAGGAAUGAAUUUUUUAAAUGUGAAAAAAAAUGUGUUUUGAGACUUUGCCAAAAAUCAUAGACACAGGAAAUCUUAGCAAUAAACACAUUAGUGAUUAUCA